rnacentral:rRNA from 1 species
GACGAACGCUGGCGGCGUGCUUAACACAUGCAAGUCGAACGGUAAGGCCCUUUCGGGGGUACACGAGUGGCGAACGGGUGAGUGACACGUGGGUGAUCUGCCCUGCACUUUGGGAUAAGCCUGGGAAACUGGGUCUAAUACCGGAUAGGACUACGCGAUGCAUGUCGUGUGGUGGAAAGCUUUUGCGGUGUGGGAUGGGCCCGCGGCCUAUCAGCUUGUUGGUGGGGUGAUGGCCUACCAAGGCGACGACGGGUAGCCGGCCUGAGAGGGUGUCCGGCCACACUGGGACUGAGAUACGGCCCAGACUCCUACGGGAGGCAGCAGUGGGGAAUAUUGCACAAUGGGCGCAAGCCUGAUGCAGCGACGCCGCGUGGGGGAUGACGGCCUUCGGGUUGUAAACCCCUUUCAGCACAGACGAAGCGUAAGUGACGGUAUGUGCAGAAGAAGCACCGGCCAACUACGUG